CUGGUUGAGGCUCUCCCUCCAUGGCCCACAAAGCCUGAAAUUGCUUGACCUCAUAUUGAUGUCCACUUCUUCUCAGCUGUUUUGAUACGCGGCUUGACUUGACCCUCUGACACCAGAGAACAUAUACAUCUUGCUCUGGCCUCAGAAAAAAGGCAGGGUGUGUGUGCACACAUGAAUGCAGUACCCAUAGAGGCCCUAGGUAUUGGAUCGCUUGAAGCUGGAGUUACAACCAGUUGGCAGCUGCGUGAUGUUCAGAGGCUCAGUCCAGUAUCAGCAAGGCAGGAACACGGAAGCAUCCAGGCCGGCAGGCAUGGUGGAAGAGGAGCUGAGAGUUUGACAUCUUCAGCUGAAGGCUACUACUAGUGGAAGACUGACUUCCAG
ensembl:lncRNA